UACGUAGGGUGCAAGCGUUGCCCGGAUUUAUUGGGCGUAAAGGGCGCGUAGGCGGGCUGUCCAGUCUGGGGUGAAAUCCCGCGGCUCAACCGUGGAACUGCCUUAGAUACUGACGGCCUCGAGGGAGAUAGGGGCAUGCGGAACUGUAGGUGGAGCGGUGAAAUGCGUUGAUAUCUACAGGAACUCCGGUGGCGAAGGCGGCGUGCUGGAUCUCUUCUGACGCUGAGGCGCGAAAGCUAGGGGAGCAAACGGG
rnacentral:rRNA from 1 species